AUGCUCGGGCGUCUGUGCCGUCUGUCGGUGCACAUUCCCGGCUGCCCGGGCGCGUAUUUUCCCCAGUACCGACGGGCACCGCCCGCUCCCCCGCGGAGCCGGACUCUGCGUCUCGCUCCCCUGCGGAGCCCCGGCCUUCCCCGCUCGCCAGCGGCCGACGCCGGUGCACAGAAAAACGCCCGUGGCGGGAGCGUUCGGGGAGCUGGGGCACGGAGACCGGCGGCCGCCCCUCGGGCGGUCUCGCUGCCGGUUGUCCACGGAGCUUCCCAUAACAGAGCUCCCCAGACUGGCUCUGCAAGCCCGCAGCUCCGACCGAGCCCCCGGCGGCGGCGCCCGCCGCCCGAUGCUUCCACGUCGCCGGGCCUCUCCCCCGGCCGCCGACGUGCGGGCAGUCCCAGCAGGACCUGGCCGAUUUGGCUCGGCCGCCCUAGCGGAACGGUCCCGGCCCGGGAGGAGCCGCCGCCGCCGGCGGUGCACGACGGUGACUGAUCCAGCCCGCGCCCCCCUCUCGGAAGGAUGGAUGUGAACGAGCUACUAAGUGUAGUUACUAAUAACAAUAACAAUAAAUUAUCGGACUGUUGCUCAGUAAUGCAAACAAAUGUUCCGUGAACCACGCAGACUCUCCCCGUGCCUCGCAGCAGCCCCACCGGGACCGGCCUGUCUGACGAGCGGCUGUUCCCCGGCCCAGGGACACGACUCUGCUCGCCCGGCAGUCUCACGGAGCAGGUGACAGGGCCAGUGAUCAGGGACGGGGCCAACCAGGGUGGCCGAUAGGAGAGGUGGUGCCGGCGCUAUCCGGUAGAAUGCGGUCGGAGGCCUCGCCGCGUGAAAAGCGGCGAGCACGGAGCCGGUAUUUUAAUUAAGCAGGACGUCUUUGAUAUAGGCCGCUUGAUGCUAUCUAUCUCUGCUCUCUGUUCCCGUCACGACAGCAUUUGGGCAGAAAAAUUGCUGAGCGAGGCGGGUCAGGCAGGGCGUCGGUGCCGCGCCGAGGAGCCGGAAAGCCCCGGGGAGCGGCGGGUGCUCGCAGCGCUCAGAGUCCCAACCCCACCGCGGUGCGGUGCCGCCGUGUGCCUUUUCGGGGGGCCUGGAGGAACGGGAGCCAAUUUACCAUGAUUAAAGGCACAGGCGAGGAGGCGCCACGCAUUUGCAUGCGCCUUCAUCUUCCCUAAGUGGAUUUUUGAGGGCAGCGCGGCAGACAAGCUCGGGCUCCGAAUUCCCUCCGCCUGUGGAGCGCCCGUCCUGAUGGACUCGUGGCUCGAGCCCCCCGCCCGCCCCAAGGAGCCGCAGGACCGGGCUCAGCUCUAAGGCCCGGCGCGGUCGAGCUGCUCCGACACGGAGCAACUCGGCCACCCGGUCCCUCCUGCGACGACCGGCGGCUCCGCGCUGCGGCCGCGACUAACCCGGCGCCGGGCACGGCCCGCAAGGGCUGCGCCUGAGGCGGAGGCUGUUCCUCAGCCUCAUCAGGCCUCCGACUCUCGCUGCCGCUCGCAGAGCUCUGGCGCGGGCCGUGUUACUGGCUCAGCUCCGUCCUCACCAGCCCUGAGCCGCAAGGACCCGGCGGGCCGGGGAGGCGGCGGCGGCCCCGUGACAGCAGCGGCGGGCGCCGAGCUCGGGUCCGGUCGCACCGAACGCAGGCGCUCUCUCCGGCCGCUCGCCGGGGGCAGGGACCCGAUGGGGCGGGCGUGACGAGCCCGGCUGGCAGCAGCGUGUCGCGCACAUGUGCCCCCGCGGCGACCGAUGCCAGGUGCGAGGCUGGGGGCAGAGUUUACCGCCGGCCUCUGACGGCUCUGCGGGUUUCCCAGCCCAGGGGGUGUGGGAGGGGUCCUUUCCCAGUUCAGGGCAAAUACCUUCGUUUCACUGGGAAAUUCAACCUCUCCUUGGAGCUGGAUCCAUUAUACGGGUUUAAUAUCCGCUCUUUUACAGCUCAGUGUUGUAAAAGGCAGCAGCCAGGUCUGUGAACUCUGACAUGUGCACCCGGGGGCGUGGGGGGGGUGUGGGGGGAGAACGACAGG
rnacentral:lncRNA from 1 species